CCUACGGGGUGCAGCAGUGAGGAAUAUUGGUCAAUGGGCUUACGCCUGAACCAGCCAAGUCGCGUGAGGGAUGACUGCCCUAUGGGUUGUAAACCUCUUUUGUCAGGGAGCAACGCCGGCUACGUGUAGCCGGACUGAGAGUACCUGAAGAAAAAGAAUCGGCUAACUCCGUGCCAGCAGCCGCGGUAAUACGGAGGAUGCGAGCGUUAUCCGGAUUUAUUGGGUUUAAAGGGUGCGUAGGCGGAAUGCUAAGUCAGCGGUAAAAUCGCGGGGCUCAACCUCGCUCCGCCGUUGAUACUAGCGUUCUAGAGUGGGAGAGAGGUAUGCGGAAUGCGUGGUGUAGCGGUGAAAUGCAUAGAUA
rnacentral:rRNA from 1 species